UUAGCCAUUGGCUCCCUGAGCAAGCCUCUGGGGUGCCUGAGGAAGCCCUGAGGCAGAGAGGGACAGAGGGAGGAGGGUGGCAGACGCAGUGCUUGGAUAAGAAGCCGUCACUCAGCACUGUCUGUACCUGAGGCUGACCCCAGAGGGUCAAGAGGACAUGGAUGGGAGCAUGUCUGCCAGAGUUGUCUUGUCUGCAGGGUGAUUGUUCCGUAGGUUGUAGUGAUGAUUCUGCGAGGCAAGUCAGCACUCAGGAAGCACUAAGUAUCAGUACUCCUUAUGCUCCCUUGUACGCCUCCAAGGUCGUGGUAGGACCUGCUUGGAAAUGGAAGCCCAGAGAGAUGAGGUAAAAUAGGCCCUGGCCACCAGAAUCUUGGAUAGCAGGGCCACGAUUUGGGCCUGAAAGCCUUCUUAGAGGAUGCCGUGCCUCAUUCUCUGGGGGCUUCAGGCUGCAGGACAUGGAGAGGUCAGCACCCCCAGAGCUGGAUGCCAGGCGGAUGUUUGCCUCGUCAGCCUCAGGUGGCACAUAAGUACCGACUGGAGUGGGUCUCAGGAGACCAUCAAGGAGACAGCAGGGUCCCCUGCACCAGGGGAAGAGUUUUGUACCUCCGAAGUGGGUGUUCCUGGUUCGCCCUGAGGCUCCUGAGUGAGUGAUGGGCAUCUUAAGAUGCAAAACCUCAUGAAGAAGAGUUCACAACCGGGUACGCCGCGAGAGGACCAGCUCUUUGGAGAUGAAAUGCAGCACAUGUUAAGUCAUGGGUUCAAGUCAAACAUGCUCUAACGGACACAUAGUGGAACCAAAGGCAUAGUUUAGCAGCAGGUCUUCCGGAAAACAAGCAACCAACUCAAGCAAAACCCUGACUUGCUAAGACAGAAGGUGGGAGUGGGAGCAGCUUUGACAAGGUCAGGUUAUUCUACAUAUUGCGUUUGUGUAAAUUAGAGCAAGAGCCCCCUGCUGGGUGGAUGUGGCACUGCUAGACCAUGGCUUGGCAGGUCCAAGGCAACUUUCUUGACAGAAAAAAUGCCUUUGGGGAUGGAUUCCGCUGAGUGCCAGAGCACACGAUUUGGUGAGGUGAGGAUUUCAGCCCUCAUUCACCCCAUCUGCUGGGUGCCAUUGUGCAGUGUGCACGCCGUACAACUCUACAUGACAGUCCUGAGCUUUUAGCUGACUGUGUGCUCGGCACUACCAGCAAGAAAAUGUAGAUUGUGCAUUUCAUGAAGGUGAGGGCUAGGUCAGGGCUCUUUACCCCUGUGUCUCCUGGCACUAAAUACAGUGCUUGGUACAGAGCAGGCAUUCAGAAAUGCUUGUUGAAAAAGUGGAUGAAUGAAUUGUAAAUGUAUCAUAGAUGGUCUGGCAUGCCACAGUCAAUAAGUGUUUGCCAAACGAAUGAAUGACUACUCCUGUCAAGUCUUCUGUGAACUUCCGUGGCACCACAGAAGGAGAGGCAGUAGAGCAUACAAGCUUGAACAAGCCUAUUUGGAUUAAAUCCCAGUCUUCUACUGAUUAGCUGUGUAAUCUUGGGCAAGUUACUGCUACUUUCUGUGCCUCUGUUUCAUCUUCUGUAAAAUGGGGGCAAUUAAUAGGGCUUACUGUCAGAGGGCUCUUAUGUAGAUCAAUGUACCCCUCAAUCAUGUUAGCUACCUGUUGUUAUCAUGACCAGAGAUGAUAGGUCCCCAAUGCUCUGUGCUGGUCAGACCUCCUGGAGAGCUGUGUUGCCUUCUGGGUGCCGUCUUCUAGAAGAGACAAUGACAGCUGCCUUGACCAUGAAAGCCCCACAGGAACUUCCUUAUAAAGAACUAGUGAAUGAAUAAAGUGUGUCCCACAAAAGUUGUUCAGAGUAGGGGUAAUUUAGGAUGGAUAAUAUAAUAUCUAGUAAGCUCUUUUUUUUUUUUCUAGUCUAGGCCCUGUAGCGUAAACUUUUUUACAUAAACUCACUAAUUAAAAAGCUCCACUUUGACCCCAGUAGCCCCUCAGUGAUUGGAGGGGAGAGACCCACAGUCCCAGGGAUGAGCUCUCCUUGGAUUUAUCCAAUCUCAUACAGAUUGGGAGCCAUUCCCCCAGGGAUUGGUUCAGAGGUGGACAGGUGACCCGUUUUGGACCAAUGAGAUGAGAGAUGUUGGCUGGAGGGUUGUGGGAGAAGCUACCUGGACAUGAUGCCUGCCUGCCUCCUUGUGAGAAGGCCGUCCUGGAAGCCUCCCAAUAGCUGCCUUGUCUCCAUGGAAGGUUCCAGCCUUGGUUUGGAGCAGCUCCCCUCGACGACAGGGAGGGCAGUUGGCCAUCUGGGAUGAUGCUGCCACCUCUGACACAGCUCUCCUGCUGGCCUCGUCCAUCACCUGGACCAUUGAAGUCCCGCUGAGGUUUUAGCUAGCUCGAGCUCAGUUUUCUGUUAUCUUCUGGAGGAUGGAUGGCUCCUCACUGGUACCCUGGCUCUUCAUUUCUUCCUUUUCCAGUCUGCUCCUUAUGGUAUGAACCUUAUACCUUGAAUUUGGCAGGGCUCAGUGUUUGGAAGCUUUAAAGCCUCUCUCAUUUCUUGCAUCUCAUUUCUUCCUCAGAGCCACCUGUCCCCUGAGUCUGUGCAUGCGUACCUAAGUAGCAGGGCUGAGGAAUGCAGAGACAAAGGGCUCCAGAAGAUAGAAGGGGAAAGCAUGGGUUAAGAUCUUUAAAUGUAGUAGCUGCUGCACUGUGUGAGGCACAGUACUAAGAGUUUUACCUGUGUUGCUUUUCACUUUUCCAGCCCUGUGGCAAAUACUGUGGCUAUUGCCAUUCACAGAUGAGGAAACCGAGACCCCAGGUUGGUCUGUCACCCCUCGGAGUCACACAUGUGGUAAGCAGCCUCAUUUUGUGUUGACCCCACAGAGCUGAUGGCUCCUAAUCAGGAGCUGUGCCCCCGCCUGGGAGAGAGCACUGGCUGAGAAGCAGGCCAGGCCCUGAAGAUCCAUAUGGGAAUUGCACACAGAGUAAUUUUAUAGACAAUUAAAUCUGUAAAGAUUGGCCGGUAUGUGUACUUAAAGCUGUGUGCAGAGGUAAUUGCCAAGUUUCCUUCCAUCUGUCGAAGAGAUUUUAAACAGAGGGGAUGGUCUACCAGGCUGAAUGCUCAGCAGACCAGUUAGGGCAAGGAAGAGUGGG
rnacentral:lncRNA from 1 species